rnacentral:lncRNA from 1 species
UCCCCCAGAGAGGUUUAUUUCCUCACCCGCAGGUGAAAGGAAAGCUUGAUUCUCCCCAGUGAGUUCCCCAACAAGUGUUUAGCCUUGCCCUGACAUAUUGAAGAUGUCAUUCUUGUGAUACCGGUAAGUAUCCUGUCUACACCCGUGUGUCUUCUUUCCUUGGUGUCGGUAAACACCAUUGUUUCGGUGUCGGUAAACAUCGAGUCUCACUCCAGUCAUCAGUAAAUGUCUGGUUAUUCCUUUUUGAUGUCGG